GUGAUGACAAUGGACUGAACUUCUGAAACUAAGAUGCUGUCUUGCUCUACUCAGCCUCUACAUCAGAUCCUAGUAAUGAGCUGCUUAGCUAUGUUGGAACUUAUGAUAUUUAAUAAAUAAUAUAUGACCCCUUACUCAAAAAAAUGUUUGGUUGGCUAACAAAGAGGACUGCAAAGGAGAAUUCCCAAAAGAUAGCUGUAUUUGCAGAAACUGAGUGACUAGAAUUUCAGCACUGUGGAAAGACUGGAAUGUGGCAAAGAUAGGAUCCCGUGGGACUGCGCUGCAGGCAGACGGACUGGCGUGUUCGUUAUAAAGACGGGUAAGUAUUUAUCAUGGGGCAAUCAGAAUCAAAAGGGAAAAAAUUGUUCCUGUCAGUGUUUAAACACAUGCUGUCUGGAAGAGGCCUAAAAAUCUCGGAUAAAUCUUUACAAGAAUU